rnacentral:rRNA from 1 species
UGACCUCGGAUCAGGUAGGAAUACCCGCUGAACUUAAGCAUAUCAAAAG